rnacentral:ribozyme from 13 species
UACUUUUUUUUUUUUUUUUUUUUUUUUUUUUUUUUUUUUUUUUUUUUUUUUGGACACAACUGAG